GACGAACGCUGGCGGCGUGCUUAACACAUGCAAGUCGACGACGCUACUGAGUAGCAAUAUUUAGUAGUGGAGUGGCGCAAGGGUGAGUAAUGUAUACGUAACCAACCCAUCGGAGACGGAUAACAUUUCGAAAGGGAUGCUAAAACGGCAUGAAGCCACGAUUUCGCAUGAGAUUGUGGUUAAAGAACCGGUAACAGGUUGCCGAUGGCUGGGCGUAUAUCCGAUUAGCUAGUUGGUAGUGUAAUGGACUACCAAGGCGACGAUCGGUAGCUGGUCUGAGAGGAUGAUCAGCCACACUGGCACUGAGACACGGGCCAGACUCCUACGGGAGGCAGCAGUGGGGAAUAUUGGGCAAUGCCCGCAAGGGUGACCCAGCAACGCCGCGUGGAGGAUGAAGGCCGUAAGGUUGUAAACUCUGACAAGCAGGGAAGGACGGCUAUGGUAAAAGGCCAUAGAAUGACGGUACCUGCCUGAAGCCCCGGCUAACUACGUGCCAGCAGCCGCGGUAAUACGUAGGGGGCGAGCGUUGUCCGGAUUUACUGGGUGUAAAGGGUGCGUAGGCGGGCUAGUAAGUCAGUGGUUAAAAACCGUUGCUUAACA
rnacentral:rRNA from 1 species